rnacentral:rRNA from 1 species
AGAGUUUGAUCCUGGCUCAGGAUGAACGCUGGCGGCGUGCUUAAUACAUGCAAGUCGAACAAAGCACCUGGAUUUGAUUCUUCGGAUGAAGAUCCUUGUGACUGAGUGGCGGACGGGUGAGUAACGCGUGGGUAACCUGCCUCAUACAGGGGGAUAACAGUUAGAAAUGACUGCUAAUACCGCAUAAGACCACAGGGUCGCAUGACCUGGUGGGAAAAACUCCGGUGGUAUGAGAUGGACCCGCGUCUGAUUAGGUAGUUGGUGGGGUAACGGCCUACCAAGCCGACGAUCAGUAGCCGACCUGAGAGGGUGACCGGCCACAUUGGGACUGAGACACGGCCCAAACUCCUACGGGAGGCAGCAGUGGGGAAUAUUGCACAAUGGGGGAAACCCUGAUGCAGCGACGCCGCGUGAGCGAAGAAGUAUUUCGGUAUGUAAAGCUCUAUCAGCAGGGAAGAAAAUGACGGUACCUGACUAAGAAGCACCGGCUAAAUACGUGCCAGCAGCCGCGGUAAUACGUAUGGUGCAAGCGUUAUCCGGAUUUACUGGGUGUAAAGGGAGCGUAGACGGCUGUGUAAGUCUGAAGUGAAAGCCCGGGGCUCAANCCCGGGACUGCUUUGGAAACUAUGCAGCUAGAGUGUCGGAGAGGUAAGUGGAAUUCCAGUGUAGCGGUGAAAUGCGUAGAUAUUGGGAGGGACACCAGUGGCGAAGGCGGCUUACUGGACGAUGACUGACGUUGAGGCUCGAAAGCGUGGGGAGCANACAGGAUUAGAUACCCUGGUAGUCCACGCCGUAAACGAUGACUACUAGGUGUCGGGGAGCAAAGCUCUUCGGUGCCGCAGCAAACGCAAUAAGUAGUCCACCUGGGGAGUACGUUCGCAAGAAUGAAACUCAAAGGAAUUGACGGGGACCCGCACAAGCGGUGGAGCAUGUGGUUUAAUUCGAAGCAACGCGAAGAACCUUACCUGCUCUUGACAUCCCGGUGACCGGCAUGUAAUGAUGCCUUUUCUUCGGAACACCGGUGACAGGUGGUGCAUGGUUGUCGUCAGCUCGUGUCGUGAGAUGUUGGGUUAAGUCCCGCAACGAGCGCAACCCUUAUCUUCAGUAGCCAGCAUUUGAGGUGGGCACUCUGGAGAGACUGCCAGGGAUAACCUGGAGGAAGGUGGGGAUGACGUCAAAUCAUCAUGCCCCUUAUGAGCAGGGCUACACACGUGCUACAAUGGCGUAAACAAAGGGAAGCAAACCUGUGAGGGUAAGCAAAUCUCAAAAUAACGUCUCAGUUCGGAUUGUAGUCUGCAACUCGACUACAUGAAGCUGGAAUCGCUAGUAAUCGCGAAUCAGCAUGUCGCGGUGAAUACGUUCCCGGGUCUUGU